rnacentral:rRNA from 1 species
ACGGCGGACGGCGUUCUCGCCGGAUGUAGGAACCGACCGGGACCGCGGGCAACCGGCGCCCCGAGACGGGGCGAACCACGGUGAAAUGACGGAUCGUCGGCCCCGCGCCGGCGACUCGCCGAAUGAGUUUCUGACCUAUCAACUCGAGACGGCGGGGGUAGACGGCCCGCCGCGGUAACGACGGGUAACGGGGAAUCAGGGUUCGAUUCCGGAGAGGGAGCCCGAGAAACGGCUACCACUUCCAAGGAAGGCAGCAGGCGCGCAACUUACCCUAAUCUCGAUUCGAGGAGGUAGUGACAAGAAAUACCGAUGCGGGACCCCUACGGGUGCCGCGUUCGGAAUGAGUACGAUUCGAACCACCUAACGAGGAACGAUCGGAGGGCAAGUCUGGUGCCAGCAGCCGCGGUAAUUCCAGCUCCAAUAGCGUAUAUUAUAGUUGUUGCAGUUAAAAAGUUCGUAGUUGGAUUUUAAGAAGAGGAAAUAAUGGUGGUAGUUAAUUGCAAAAACAAUUAAUUAUCAUCGUCCUUUUCAACCAGAAAUGGUUUCGGGGAAUAGAAAGAGCAAUCUUU